GGGAAGAUGGCUCAGUGGUAGAGUGCUUGCCUUGCAUGCACGAGGCCCUGGGUUCAAUUCCUCAGUACCA
rnacentral:tRNA from 1 species